rnacentral:rRNA from 1 species
UACGGAGGGUGCGAGCGUUGUCCGGAAUCACUGGGCGUAAAGGGCGCGUAGGCGGCCUGAUAAGUAGGGGGUGAAAUCCUGCGGCUUAACCGCAGGGCUGCCUUCUAAACUGUCAGGCUUGAGCACAGUAGAGGCAGGUGGAAUUCCCGGUGUAGCGGUGGAAUGCGUAGAGAUCGGGAAGAACAUCGGUGGCGAAGGCGGCCUGCUGGGCUGUUGCUGACGCUGAGGCGCGACAGCGUGGGGAGCAAACAGG